CCUCCUUAUUUGGAAUCUCUUUUUGUCUCCAGAACCUGGCAUAUGUUAUUCUCGCGGCAGUGACCAAGUAGUUGAACAGGAUCUCUUUAUUUUUGUCAUGGUCAAUGUCUAACAUUCCAAGCUUUUUGUUUUGCCAUAUAAUUGGUUCUCGCAGAAGCAGAGGCAGCAGGAG
rnacentral:lncRNA from 11 species